rnacentral:rRNA from 1 species
UGGCGACCGGCGCACGGGUGAGUAUCGCGUAUCCAACCUGCCCUUUACUAUGGGACAGCCCGUCGAAAGGCGGAUUAAUACCGUAUGUUGUCAUGUUGAUGCAUAUUUUCAUGACCAAAGGCUUCGGCCGGUAAAGGAUGGGGAUGCGUCUGAUUAGCUUGCCGGCGGGGUAACGGCCCACCGGGGCGACGAUCAGUAGGGGUUCUGAGAGGAAGGUCCCCCACAUUGGAACUGAGACACGGUCCAAACUCCUACGGGAGGCAGCAG